rnacentral:lncRNA from 1 species
GCACCUUCAUGGUUGUUCUUAUUAGUAAACGCUGCUGAAGGUGGAAGAGGUGGUCUUUUUCCCUGAUCCUCUUCAUUCACAUUUCCAAGAACCUUCUUGGCCAACACUCUCCACUUCUCCGUUUUGAGGAAGAGCGUGUUUUCAAAACUAGAGGCGCCAGCACCACGACUCGUUGUUCCAGAAGUACCUCCGGAUUCGUGAGACGAAUGGCUCUUGCCAUAUUUUUUGGAUGGUUUUUGCUCAGCAGUCACGGAAGAGGAACUUCGACGAAGUAAGUUACUCGCUAGACUCACAGAAGAUCUUCUAAAGGACGAUGCUCUUCGAUCAAAGAUACUAAAAGUGGAACUUCGUUCCAUUCGUGACAUACUGAAGUAAUUGUAUACUUAACAUAUAUGUGUGUUGUAGUUAUACACUCUGUAUCACCUAGUUCACCACCACUAAUUGAAUCACUUAAUGAUCCACGAACGAUAUUUGAGAAAUCUCUGGACACUCACUCACUUCAACAACACUUGAGGUGAUGCUUGCAGCAUUGAUAUAAUAAUUUUAAUAACAAUAUUUUCCUUCUUUUCUUAUGAGAGGGAAAAAGAAAAGUCGUUUUGUUUGGCUGACUGUCAAUUCUUUUUAAAGACAAAUAAUCUGGAAUUAUUAUGUAUUAUGUACGUAGUAAUUGAAUCUGAUGUGAUUGUGAUGUCAGUUGAACAUGGAUGAUUAAAAACAAUAAUGAAGUAGUAGUGCCUUGGAUGGACUAGGUGACGAUGCGACUCCACUACACAUCCUCAUCCCUCUCUCAAGAGUCACAAAGCAUGUAUAGUACAUACAUAUCACUCCCUAUUCUAGAUUCUCCAUUAUUUUAUCAAACCAAUCACACUUGUUUCAUUUCUCUCUCCUUUUUUUUGGUUUUUUUUGUUUGUUACAUAUUGACUUUAUUCGUCAAUGUCCUUCGUUCUCCAGUAGACAUGACAGUCUGAUAGAUACAUAGGUAGAUAUAAACACACAGGGAUAUAAGAGAGAAAGGAAGAUAAUAUUAGAAGAAGAAAGAAGGUGGCCAAAUGUGGGUAUAUGUAUUUCUAAGUUAAUCGAGAGAGAUCAAAACAACGACGAGUUAGUCAACCAUCACAAUAGCCACAAUGACAACUUUGACUUUUCUAUUUCCCAAGACUUCUUCCUUCCUUCCUUCCUCUUGAGGGACACUUAACAACUAUAGUCUUAUAGGUAUGUACGUAUGUAUAUGAAAAAUAAUACAGAAAUUAUUCUUCUUUCUAAAGAGAGAGGGAAUAAUAGAGACUAAACCGAAGAAUCACUGACAACUACAUACAUAGAAGUACAGUAUGUAAACCUAAUAGUAGUGUAGUCAAGCACUAGUUAGUAGGCACUUGCUUAUUCAGGAGGGAGGAGGGAGGGAGGAAAGAAUUAUAUAUUAUUACUCAUUUAUUUAUACACACACACGAGACAAAACUCACACUCCGCGGCACACAUCAAUGUGCGUAAGGAUUUAUAUAUCUACAUACAUGUGACGGUGAUCACAUUCAACAGCAGCAGCAGCAUCAAUGCAACCACCAGGACUCUACAUACAUAUAAUAGGAAUACCCAAUAGUUGUACAUAAUAUUAUAUCAUCAUCAUCAUCAUAAAAUACCUGACUCAACUAGGUCCUACAUCAUGUCAGUAUGUAGAAUAAGAGAACGUCGACCUUCGUCUCUUUAACAAGAGACUCAUAUAACGUGCACGCAUGUUUUUGGGGCCGAAAAGGGAGAACAAUUGGCUAUCUUAUAGGUAUUAUAUAUUACACAUAGUCAGGCCCAUAGCAUAGAUAUUAUAUAUAGUGGUGAGAAAAGAUGAGGAGAGUCAGUGUUCGUGGAAGAAGGGAGAGGAGGGAAGCAUAGCAAGUAUAUUAACCAUAGGUAUUAGGUACAAUUAUUAGUGUUGUGUCGAUCAUUAUUUAGGACUGAAGUCCCGUCCAAUUCAGCCCUAAAACUUAUACAGCUCGGUCCUUAAUGACGUUACUCAAGUACAUUUCUUUACUUUUUUUAUCAGUUCCAGUAUUAGGACUCGUCCGAAGGACUGGUCCUAAUACUGGACCCACUGAAUAAAUAAGGACCGACACACCACUAGUGACAAUUAUGGAUAUGUAUUAUAUAUGUUCAUGACAAACGGCAAAAAGCAGGCCUGCCUCAAUAUAUAUGCAGAUAGACGAUCGUAGUAGCUACAUAAUAUACAAAUAACACACACACACAUACAUCAAAGAUGUUCUGUCAAAAAAUGUGUGCGAUUUAUUCAAUCCCUUCCCGUGACUCACCGAUGAAUAUCAGAGUAGGUAGUAGAUGAGGAUGCUUCAAUGGGAUCCCACCACUAAUGUCCAAAAAAUACCAAAACUGAUUGAGAUGACAGAAUAAAGUGUUGUAAUAAAAAGAAGAGUUAAUAAGUGAGAUAAAAGAAGGAUUACAUAUCCCUCCAGAUGGUGGUGAUGAUGAUGUAGAUUUUAAGAAUCAAAGGAUGGACGACAGGAUAGGAUACUUGUUUUCACAUCGAAGAUUCUUUGAUAUUUAUUUGGAAACCGUUUUUAUUAUUACUUCUUUUAGAUGAAGGAAAGAAAAUAAAAAAGGCCACAAAGAAGAGAGAAAAAGAGGAGAAACUCAGGAACUAAGCAAGGCAUCAGUGUUUUUUUUCCCCUACGAAGAAUGUAUGUAAAAUAAAUAUAAAGAAAUGGGCCUGAAUAAUAACAACAGCAAUACGAAUAGUAAUGCGACGAGAAAGAAAUGAAGGCCGCUGCCCUGCCAAGUGAGCAUGGAUGUGGAAGAGAAGGAAAAUGAACAGAAAAUAUUAUGUAUUUAGAAACGAAUAGACGAAGAAUAAGAUAUGUAUGUACCCACUUUUACUAUUUACAAUAAUAUGUACCCAUCUUUGUUUUUGAAUGAUGAGUACACAUCAUUAUUACUUCUCUAAUCUCGGAAAGAAAGAAACAUUCGAGAAAUACCCGCAAAUCCUAUCUCAGUCAACGAAAUGACAGAAAAUGUCUUACAGAUGAUGUAUUUGUAGACUGCGUGUAAAAAACACUUAUCUUCUUUUUUGAGGAGAAAGAGGAGGAGGGGGUAGAAAAAGAAAAAUGGGAUUUAGAAAGCUUCUUCUCUUCUAUCUAGCACGACAUCAACAUCAUCAUAGUAAGACGACGAGUAAGCCAAAAUGAAUGUUGGUGGGCCUUGAUUUAAUUAUAUAAUUUGAGGGCCUUUAGACAUACAUAUUCAUAAUAAAAAUAUAAAACAAACUAAUUGAAUGGUCCGACAAGAGACCUUAGUAGUAGAUACACUACGUUCUCUACUCCAUUAAUCCUACUACAUAACUAUUCAUCAGGAAUAAAUAAGAGCAACAACCCCUAUUAUAUAUGUAUUGAUUCAAACCAAAAUAAUAAUAAUAAUAUUACACAAAUUUAAAAAAAAAAACCUGACCUCUAUUGUUGGUGAACUACAUCGAUAUGUAUCAUAUCAUUGAUGUACACCGUGUGUCCGCAAAUCGCAGAAUUUUCUUUAAAUCCAAUUUCCAAGUUCUGAAUUUCAGCUUUCAAAUUCUAUAUUUAUUUUAAUUAAAUCAGACAACAACAACAACAAGGGCUUGAAAUAGAAGCAAAAAGACAAGUAGUUGCUGACUUGCUCCACGCCGUAAUAAAUACCAGUGCCCUCCAUUUGUGAGAUUGUCACUUGCAGAAAGGAAGAAUGCGUUUUUGGAGCAAUUGGGGGACACCAUCGAGAACACUCCAACAAGGGCAAUGCAAAAAACUUUCAGGGAGGUUGAGUGCCUUGGAGGCCACAGUAUGCAUAGCUGUGGGAAACCUCUAUAUGACCUUAUAUGUAAGAAAGAAACGUCAGUUACUUACUGAAUCGUCCAAAAUCAAGAGACUGGAUAAGAUACAAGAGGUAUUAAUUGUGGCCAUCCAACUUUUGGCCCCCAUCAUUCCCUGACUGUGUUCCCUUAGAUUAUGGAAUUUGAGGGACACAAGAUAUUUUACUUGGCUAUUUUUUUUCCACCGGGAUUCCCUGUACAUAGCAUAUUAUAGAAUGAAAAUAAUGUAAUUGACUUAUGAAUAGCUUCUUACCAUGAAGAUGAUGCAAAUGAUGAUGGUGAUGAUGAUCCAAUUCGUGACGCGCAAGAGCCCUAAAACCUCCCGGAGGCUGUUUAAGAACGGAUAUAGGAACUAAACCCUCUGCUGGAGGUCCAGACGUGGCGGAAGACUCUGGUAUAGCAGAAGUAACGAGCCGAACUAAGACGGAUGUGCUGGAUGAAGAGAUUUCGAGGAUUUCUACUUGUUGUCCACGAGUCACUGAAAGCUCUCCAAUUGAAGAUGAAGAAAAAUCUGUUAUCACCCAUGUUGUUUCACAGCCCUGUAAAUAAAUAAACAAAAGCAAAUGGAGACACAUGUUCAAAAAGGAAUUCAUAUACAUAAAAUAUGUACAUAAUAAUAAUAAUAAUAAUUGUUAUAGCAAUAAUAAAUAUGUACAUAUAUUCAUCUCUUCCCUAUCAAAGCAUGUUUUCCCAGAUGAUCAACAUCAACGGCUGUUCUUCCGUUGAGCAGGGAUGACACAAAGGGACUCUACUCCCAUUCCAUAGAUAUUCGUCAUUAUGAUCGCAAUUUAAAAAGUGUACGAAUAAAUAAAUUGAAAAUCAAAUUCUUGACUUUCUCUCCUCCACAAACAUACUCUCUUAUCAGAGAAGGAAGAAGGGAAAACACAUCUCUAUAGUUCAUAUAGAACUUUUAUAUACAUUAUAUCCUCUUCCUUUUUAAGUAAUUAAUACCAAUAUAUAUGUAUUUACUAGAGAGGAGAAGAAGAGGGAGGAAAUCAAAUAACUCACUCACUCAUUAUCAACAACCAACUAUUAUUGCUCAAUUAAAAUUCCCUUUUAUUAAUUAGAAGAGCAAAGAAUGAAAUCAGUAAUUUGUCACUGAUAUCUAUCACGAAUAAGGGGGCGUGGCAGACAAAUGAGUAGAUAAUGAUGACACUAAGGAUGUCAAGGAAUAAAAAUAUACAAAGGAACAAACAAAGAAAGAAUGAUGGAGGGAAAUCAUUGAGCUAUGCAUUUCGUAUUGUAAUAUGUAUGUAAAAGAAACUAAACUCUUUUCUUUUUCAUCAAUCCAUGGGUAUUGUAUAAACAAUGCACAUGGAUUGUCUAGAUAGUUUUACAUUUUAUGAAUGAUAUGAACAAAUAAUGGACAGGAAUGACUCCCUUCCUUGAUUACAUUUUUUGAAUCUAGAAUGAGGGGCUCGAUCUGGUGAAAGGAGGGAGAUGAGGUAGUAGUAGUAGUCACUGUUCCUCCAGAGACGGUGUGUUGUCGAGGAAGUCUAAAUUUGCGAACUCCAAAAGAGGAUUGACGAAACCAGGGCAAAGAGAUUUUUCUUCGUCGACCUCUUUUAGAUUGAGCGGAGGAGGACGACUUUUGAUCGCUACAUACCCCCUCCAAUGACUCUCCUGUCGAACACCCCUCUUGGACUUGGUUUUUAGAAGACAUGGAAUGGAUUUGAUCAGGUUCAAUGUAAUACCAUCGUAAAUAGUUCACAUCACAUCACUACCGGUUUUCUGAGGGGACGCCGCGUCCAACACGGUACUCUAUAGGUGGGUUGUAGUGCCAAGUCGAAAUAAAGACGAAAUCAGAAUCUCUCUCUUUCUCAGAGAGCAAGAACAAGGACCAUUAUACAUAAGUACAUGGAGGGUGUGAUGAUGUUUAAUUUAGAAAAUGACAGAAUACCACUUCUUUAACAACAUAUAUGAAUAUCUAUGUAUCUAAUGAAUCAAAGACACCAUAAAACUCUGUCUCCAAAGACAUACACUAAUAUAUGUACAUGCGUCUUGAACGAAAGCAAGAGCUAAAUAAAAAAAACAGCAGCUUUUCCCCCCUCUUUUGAGCAGAAAUAAAAAAUAAAUAAAUAUAAAAACUCACCAAGUUAUGAGCGCACGACAUAACUUAGUUUUUCAAGAAAGCAUGCCUGUGCAAAUGAAUUAUAUAUAUUUUGCAAGCAAUACAAGAGAGGAGGGCCGGAGAAAAAGAAAA